rnacentral:rRNA from 1 species
GAAUGAACGCUGGCGGCGCGCCUAAUACAUGCAAGUCGAGCGAGAAGACGUAGCAAUACGUUUGUAAAGCGGCGAACGGGUGAGGAAUACAUGGGUAACCUACCCUCGAGUGGGGAAUAACUAGCCGAAAGGUUAGCUAAUACCGCGUACGCUUCUUGGACUUCGGUUCAGGGAGGAAAGCGAUGCCGAGGGUAUCGCGCUCUUGGAUGGGCUCAUGUCCUAUCAGCUUGUGGUGAGGUAACGGCUCACCAAGGCUUCGACGGGUAGCUGGUCUGAGAGGACGAUCAGCCACACUGGCACUGCGACACGGGCCAGACUCCUACGGGAGGCAGCAGUAAGGAAUAUUGCGCAAUGGGCGAAAGCCUGACGCAGCGACGCCGCGUGGGGGAUGAAGGUCUUCGGAUUGUAAACCCCUUUCGGGAGGGAAGAUGGGACGGGCGAACCGUUCGGACGGUACCUCCAGAAGCAGCCACGGCUAACUUCGUGCCAGCAGCCG